UACGUAGGGUGCAAGCGUUAUCCGGAAUCACUGGGCGUAAAGCGUGCGUAGGCGGGAAUUUAAGUGAGAUGUUAAAUUGUGUGGCUCAACCAUAUCGAUGCGUCUCAUACUGGGUUCCUAGAGGAUGGCAGAGGCAAGUGGAAUUGGUAGUGUAGCAGUGAAAUGCGUAGAUAUUACCAGGAACACCAAUGGCGAAGGCAGCUUGCUGGGCCACCCCUGACGCUGAGGUACGAAAGCGUGGGGAGCGAACAGG
rnacentral:rRNA from 1 species